rnacentral:tRNA from 1 species
UGUGAAGUCGAGUGUUUAAGGCGAUAGACUCUUAAUCCUUUGGGAUCUUCCCGCGCAGGUUCGAAUCCUACCGACAA